rnacentral:rRNA from 1 species
AGUGAACGCUGGCGGUAGGCCUAACACAUGCAAGUCGAACGGCAGCACAGGAGAGCUUGCUCUCUGGGUGGCGAGUGGCGGACGGGUGAGGAAUACAUCGGAAUCUACUUUUUCGUGGGGGAUAACGUAGGGAAGCUUACGCUAAUACCGCAUACGACCUACGGGUGAAAGCAGGGGAUCUUCGGACCUUGCGCGAUUGAAUGAGCCGAUGUCGGAUUAGCUAGUUGGCGGGGUAAAGGCCCACCAAGGCGACGAUCCGUAGCUGGGCUGAGAGGAUGAGCAGCCACACUGGAACUGAGACACGGUCCAGACUCCUACGGGAGGCAGCAGUGGGGAAUAUUGGACAAUGGGCGCAAGCCUGAUCCAGCCAUACCGCGUGGGUGAAGAAUGCCUUCGGGUUGUAAAGCCCUUUUGUUGGGAAAGAAAUCCAGCUGGUUAAUACCCGGUUGGGAUGACGGUACCCAAAGAAUAAGCACCGGCUAACUUCGUGCCAGCCGCCGCAGUAA